rnacentral:rRNA from 1 species
GUGAGUAGUUCAGAGUUUGAUCCUGGCUCAGGACGAACGCUGGCGGCGUGCCUAACACAUGCAAGUCGAACGGGACUUAAUGGAAAGCGGCUUCGGCCAAUGGAAGUUAAGUUUAGUGGCGAACGGGUGAGUAACGCGUGAGGAACCUGCCUUUCAGUGGGGGACAACAGUUGGAAACGACUGCUAAUACCGCAUAAUGUCAUUUAAGGGCAUCCUUGAAUGACCAAAGAUUUAUUGCUGAAAGAUGGUCUCGCGUCUGAUUAGCUAGUUGGUGAGGUAACGGCUCACCAAGGCGACGAUCAGUAGCCGGUCUGAGAGGAUGAACGGCCACAUUGGGACUGAGAUACGGCCCAG